rnacentral:rRNA from 1 species
UACGAAGGGUGCAAGCGUUACUCGGAAUUACUGGGCGUAAAGCGUGCGUAGUCGGUUAUUCAAGUCGGGUGUGAAAGCCCCGGGCUCAACCUGGGAAUUGCAUUCGAUACUGUUUAGCUAGAGUUCGGCAGAGGGAAGCGGAAUUUCCGGUGUAGCGGUGAAAUGCGUAGAUAUCGGAAGGAACAUCAGUGGCGAAAGCGGCUUCCUGGACCAGAACUGACGAUCAGGCACGAAAGCGUGGGGAGCAAACAGG